CCUAGGGAUCCAUUAACAUUACCAAAACAAAUGAAUGGACUCUGCCAGCGUUGUUUCGCAACCUUGACUUAACCAAGCACAACAAAAAUGUCUCAGUAGGCACUUGGAGAAUACCGACUUGACGAUCUCAUCUCAGUUUACUCUUCCAGUGGAAGACCAUUGUUGUCGUUGUUCUGCCUGUCGCAGACGGCACUGACAUAGAUCGCUGAACAAAAAUACAUUAUUCAUUGUAGAUGAAUAAUUUUUGGAUGAACUGAAUUCUGAUCAUUUCUUGACUAAUGCGCCGCAGCACAACGGUUUCGAAACAGUGCUACAAAUGCAUUCUAGUUGUCAGUGAUGCUCACUUUUGUCUCUCAAACAGUAAUCUGUAGAUUUGUGACAAUGCUCGGUCCUUGGCAACACAAUGAUGCAUUAUGGCGCAUACAGUGCAGCAUACAGCAUAAGGCAGGACAACAUACGUUAGCUUGACAAUGACAAAUGACUCUGUUGUUUAAAUGCUCAACAAAUGCAUGUUUCUCUCUUUCUGAGUGUAUGGAGUGAGACAAUCUGUGUGCCAAUCAUGAAUGGUAAUUCCAAAUACUAGAUGGAGAGAAAGGGGAAAAAACAGCCAGCAGUUCAAUGAUGUGUGUGGACACAGAUUGCCGUAUGGAAAUUUUAACCUUUCUGCCAGUGCUGGCUAUCAGGCUUGUAGACAGAAAGGUCCUCCUGUUGAUGUGAUGAGCGGGGAAGACACAAGCUGUCACCACUGCUGACUAAUUACACUGCAAGCAAACAGUUGAGUGCUCUGUUUACAUUUGGACGGCCUCGGGAGACUGAGAUGAGCGUCAUGAAUCAGAUUGUCUUUUGCAUGCGAGUCUCACAUGCAUUUGUGAGAUUGCAGAAAGCCAUCAGUCAUGUUUUAGACGCGAAGGACAGUCCUUAAAACGACCAAAGUAUUGACGCGGUGACGGAUGUCGACGGUAGGCCUGUGGCCACCCCAGUCCGUCCGAGUCUUCUGCCACAGCCAAACUGCGUUGGGAACAGACUUACUGACUGGGCACACUGGGAAGUUGAAGUCAACAUGAGAAUGUGGCGGCUUCUGAGGUAGUAUCAGAGUUGACCACCAGCCAGGACCGUGAAGUUUAACACCUGAAACUUACUGCCACUGCCCCCUUUGUGUUAAAUGCACAUUGCGAUUGCACAUUUUGGACGUUGGAGUUCUAUCUGAAAGGGACAGAUUGAAUAGAGUACAUCUUAUUACUCCUGUUCCACCGGAAUCGCACCUCUGAUAUAAUCAAUGGAGUGCGAAAGCUGCUCAUAACUGGCAUCUCGCCCUAGCCUCAAUUUUGUUGAACAUUUGUGGACUUUUGCUUUAAAAACUGUGUGCAUGCCAGGAAAGAAAUCAAUUUUGAAGAGCAGUGGUCAAUAAUCACCAUGAACUAUACCAGAAGCUUGGAUGAGCUGAAACAAUAUUCAUGUUGAAAAUGUUGAAAUGUUGUCAGCUGACUGACACUGAAGUAUGUUUUCUGACAGGUGGCCUUAUAAAUUUGUUAGGCGCUGUACCAUACAGUACAUUACAUUCAAAUGCAUCCCUGGUAGGCUUCGUGCAUGGGUCUAUGAAUUGACAGGUGACAGAUCUUCUGGGCCACCGAGCCGGACAGGCAAGGCGCAUUACUGUCCCCUCACGGCCGGCCUGACAUACAGCCAGACCUACCAUGACAGGCGUAAGUAACGCGUUUUGGCCUGAACGUUAACAACUUUCGACACAUCAACAGCACAAAAGCUGCCCAUCCAGCGUGUAUAUUUUCCAUACUAAUUAAAGGCACUGCGUCAUGUUGUCAGUGGAGGUCGUGGUGUUUUUUUUUUUUUUUUGCAAACACUCACAAUGGACAUAAUGUGUUGCUAAAAUGAUAAUUUUGGUACUCAACUUUGAAUGUUGUUGCAUUAGCAAAGUCCUAAAGGCCAACAAUA